rnacentral:lncRNA from 1 species
GGCCAAGAAGCACUUAAAGAAAUGCUCACCGUCCUUAAUUAUCAAGGAAAUACAUAUCAAAACAACCCUGAGAUUCUACCUUAUACCAAUCAAAAUGGGUAAGAUCAAAAAUUCAAGUGACAGCAUAUGCUGGCAAGGAUGUGAAGACAGGGAAUCCAUUGCUAGUAGGAUUGCAAACUUGUAGAACCACUGUGGGAAUCAAUCUGGUGUUUUCUCAGAAAAAUGGAAAUAGUUCUACCUGAAGACGAGAUAUACCUCUAUUGGGCAUAUACUCAAAAGCUGCUCCACCAUACCACAAGGAUAUGUGUUCCACAAUGUUCAUAGCAGCUUUACUCGCAAUAACCAGAAACUGGAAACAACCCAAUGCCCCUCAACUGAAAAACAGAUACAGAAAAUGUGGUUGUUUUACACAAUAGAAUUCAGCUUUUAAAAACAAGGAUAUCAUGAAAUUUGUAGGCAAAUGCAUGGAACUAACACAGACCCAAAAGGACAUGCAUAGUAUAUACUCACUAAUAAGUGGAUAUUAGCCAUAAGGUACAGAAUACCCAUGACACAAGGAAAACAAAAUAGUCAUAGGAGGCAGAGGGAGAGAGGAAAGAAGAUGGGAGAGGGGAGGGAGAGGGGAGUGGGGGGCAUGGUCAGGUGUGUGGAAAGACAGGAGAGAGACCCAGAGGCCAUGAGAAUGAAUGGAAAUCUGCAGCUGCCAGGGGUGGGUGGGGUGAGGUGAAUCUUUAAGAAGACCCAGAGAACUGAGAUGGUAGAUGCUCCCAGGAGUCAAUGUGGGUGACUUUAAGAAGUGAGUUGAAGAGUUGAACCUGAGAAGACUACCCGGCAGGAUCCCCCAGUAGAGGGAUAAGUAUACUAACUCAUUCACAGAACUUUUGACCCAAAAUUUGUUUUGUCUAAAAAAAAUGCAGGGACAAAUAUGGAGCAAAGAUAUAGGAAUGGCCAACCAAUAACUGGCCAAAUUUUAAACCCACACCAUGGGCAAACACUAGUCCCUGACACUAUUAAUGAUACUCUGUUAUGCUUAUAUACAGGAGCAUAGCAUAACUGUCCUUUGAGAGGUUCUACACAGCAUCUGACUGAAACAGAUGCAGAUAUCCACAGUCAAACAUUGGAUGGAGGUCAGGAACUCUUAUGGCAGACCCUGAAGGUCGUAGGAACCCCACAGGAUGACCAACAGAGACAACUAACCAGACCUUUGGGAGCAAUCAUAGACUGAGCCACCAACCAAAGAACAUACAGGGGCAUAAAUGAGGCCCCUGGCACAUAUGUAGCAGACAUGCAGCUCAGUCGCCACAUGGGCACCCUAACAACUGGAGUGGAGGCUCUCCCU